rnacentral:rRNA from 1 species
AGCGAACGCUGGCGGCAGGCCUAACACAUGCAAGUCGAACGGAUCCUUCGUGAUUAGUGGCGGAGGGGUGAGUAACACGUGGGAAGGUGCCCUUUGGUUCGGAACACUUCAGUGAAACUUGACCUAAUAACGGAUGUGCUCUUAGGGGGUAAGAUUUAUGGCCAUUGGAGCGGCGCGGGUCUGAUUAGCUAGUUGGUGAGGUAACGGCCCACCACGGCGAUGAUGAGUAGCUGGUCUGGGAGGAUGAUCUGCCACACUGGAAAUGAGACACGGCCCAGACUCCUACGGGAGGCAGCAGAGGGGAAUCGUGCGCAAUGAGCGAAAGCCUGACGCAGCCGCGCGGCGUGAAUGAUGAAGGUCUUAGGAUUGUAAAAUUCUUUCAGCGGAGACGAUAAUGACGGUACCCGCAGAAGAAGCUCCGGCUAACUUCGUG